rnacentral:misc_RNA from 1 species
AACGCAUAUUGCGCCCGAGCUUCGGCAAGGGCAUGUCUGCCUCAGCGUCGGUUUAUACCCUCGCUUCACCACCCCGUGUGGAGUGCGCUGCACCCCAGCGUCUGAAGCGGAUCUGGCUUUCCCAGCGCGCCUCGUGCGCUCUGGGUUGGCUGAAGAACAGAGGCUAGAGCUUCGACCCGAUGUGGGCUCAACUGGAUAGGUAGCACCGGCACCCGCCGACUACACGAAGUUGACGCCCGUGGUCUUUGCUGGCGGCCAGCAGGAAACGCACCUCGCGUGCGCUUAAACCUUCGACCUGAGCUCAGGCAAGAUUACCCGCUGAACUUAA